AGAGAAAUAGCUGAGUCAAAUGGUGGUUCCCUGCCCAGUUUUCCAAGAAAUCUCCAUACUGCUUUCCAAAUUGGCUGCACCAGUUUGCAGUCCACCAGCAAU
rnacentral:pre_miRNA from 1 species